AACUAGGAGGAAAGCCGACGUCCUCCUCUUUCCUCAGAAGUGAUCUGUGGCCGGCCGGACUUCAUUCCACAGAUGUGCUUUAACAAAGUGUGAAGCUGAACUCUGAGCUGUGACAGUGUGAGCAGUGUGAGAGUGUCAGUAGAUGAUCAGCAGGAAAGUGAGAGCUGCUGUGAGCUGAUGUCCUGAAGGGCUUUUAAAGAGUCUCUGAGUUUGACAGGAACAUGAAGAUGUUUGUGGUGUUUGUGAUCCUCCUGCACGUUUCCCAGCAUGCCUCAGCUGUGGAGUCGUAUGAGGGGGAGUCAUUCGUCCUGCCCUGUCAGUUUCCCACUUUUAGAUUUCGAGACCCCUCAGUGUUGUGGAGUCGCUCCGACCUCAGUCCUCCAACCGUCCACCAGCGUCAGCGUCAAGGAGACGAACUGAAGAUCAAAACCAGCGUUACAGCGGCCGAACAUCCAUGAAGACUGACGCUCUGGAUACUGGAGACCUCAGCCUGAACCUGACCAACCUCCAACUGUCUGACAGCGCCACCUACACCUGCUCCAUCAGAGACUUUGGAGAUGAACUGAGUCGGAGUGAUGUACAGCUGCAGGUCAAAGAACGGUUUCCAUCCUGGGCCAAAGCUCUCCUGGUUCUCCUGGUUCUUCUUGUGGUUUCUGGGG